rnacentral:sRNA from 2 species
AUCACGCCAACGUCAAUGGAAUCACAGUGUCGCCGGAAUUCGGCCAAUCGCAUGCCGCGGCGGGGCGCGAUCUUUCUUCGCGUAGCAGGGCCGGUUCGUGAGGCGCUCCGGUCUAUCCCAGCCCCCCAGCCCCCCGGGGUGCAUCCGAACCGGCCAGGCUACGCACCGACUUCAGACCCCCGAUGUUGGCCAUCCCCUGCGGAUGGCCUUUUU